rnacentral:rRNA from 1 species
GAUGAACGCUGGCGGCGUGCUUAACACAUGCAAGUCGAACGGAAAGGCUCCUGCUUGCAGGGGUACUCGAGUGGCGAACGGGUGAGUAACACGUGGGUGAUCUGCCCUGCACUUCGGGAUAAGCCUGGGAAACUGGGUCUAAUACCGGAUAGGACGAUGGUUUGGAUGCCAUUGUGGAAAGUUUUUCGGUGUGGGAUGAGCUCGCGGCCUAUCAGCUUGUUGGUGGGGUAAUGGCCUACCAAGGCGUCGACGGGUAGCCGGCCUGAGAGGGUGUACGGCCACAUUGGGACUGAGAUACGGCCCAGACUCCUACGGGAGGCAGCAGCGGGGAAUAUUGCACAAUGGGCGCAAGCCUGAUGCAGCGACGCCGCGUGGGGGAUGACGGCCUUCGGGUUGUAAACUCCUUUCGCUAGGGACGAAGCGCAAGUGACGGUACCUGGAGAAGAAGCACCGGCUAACUACGUG